rnacentral:rRNA from 1 species
UUGGAGGGCAAGUCUGGUGCCAGCAGCCGCGGUAAUUCCAGCUCCAAUAGCGUAUAUUAAAGUUGUUGCAGUUAAAAAGCUCGUAGUUGAAUUUCGGGGUUAGUAGGUUGGUCAUGCCACUGGUAUGUACUGGUCUCACUGAUUCCUCCUUCCUGAUGAGCCGUAAUGCCAUUAAUUUGGUGUUGCGAGGAAUCUGGACUGUUACUUUGAAAAAAUUAGAGUGUUUAAAGCAAGCUAACGCUUGAAUACAUUAGCAUGGAAUAAUGAAAUAGGACGUUCGAUCCUAUUUUGUUGGUUUCUAGGAUUGACGUAAUGAUUAAUAGGGAUAGUUGGGGGCAUUAGUAUUCAAUUGUCAGAGGUGAAAUUCAUGGAUUUAUUGAAGACUAACUACUGCGAAAGCAUUUGCCAAGGAUGUUUUCAUUAAUCAAGAACGAAAGUUAGGGGAUCGAAGACGAUCAGAUACCGUCGUAGUCUUAACCAUAAACUAUGCCGACUAGGGAUCGGAUGAUGUUAAUUUUUUAAUGACUCAUUCGGCGCCUUACGGGAAACCAAAGUGUUUGGGUUC